UACGUAGGGGGCAAGCGUUGUCCGGAAUCAUUGGGCGUAAAGAGCGUGUAGGCGGUCCGUUAAGUCGGCUGUGAAAGUCCAAGGCUCAACCUCGAGCUGUCGGCGGAAACCAUCUGGCUAGAGUCCGGAAGAGGAGAGUGGAAUUCCUGGUGUAGCGGUGAAAUGCGCAGAUAUCAGGAAGAACACCUAUGGCGAAGGCAGCUCUCUGGGACGGUACUGACGCUGAGACGCGAAAGCGUGGGGAGCGAACAGG
rnacentral:rRNA from 1 species